rnacentral:rRNA from 1 species
AGAGCGAACGCUGGCGGCAUGCUUAACACAUGCAAGUCUCACGGGCAGCAAUGUCAGUGGCGGACGGGUGAGUAACGCGUAGGUAUCUAUCCAUGGGUGGGGGAUAACGUCGGGAAACUGACGCUAAUACCGCAUGACAUCUAAGGAUCAAAGGCGCGAGUCGCCUGUGGAGGAGCCUGCGUACGAUUAGCUAGUUGGUGGGGUAAAGGCCUACCAAGGCGACGAUCGUUAGCUGGUCUGAGAGGAUGAUCAGCCACACUGGGACUGAGACACGGCCCAGACUCCUACGGGAGGCAGCAGUGGGGAAUAUUGGACAAUGGGCGAAAGCCUGAUCCAGCAAUGCCGCGUGUGUGAAGAAGGUCUUCGGAUUGUAAAGCACUUUCGGUGGGGACGAUGAUGACGGUACCCGCAGAAGAAGCCCCGGCUAACUUCGCGCCAGCAGCCGCGGUAA